rnacentral:tRNA from 1 species
UCGGGGAUGGUGUAAUUGGAAACACAAUGGGUUCUGGUCCCAUUAUUGAGGGUUCAAAUCCUUCUCCCCGAG